rnacentral:rRNA from 1 species
GGCGGCAUGCCUAAUACAUGCAAGUCGAGCGGGAGUGCUUGCACUCCAGUGGCGAACGGGUGAGUAACACGUAUCUAAUCUACCUUUUAGUGGGGGAUAACCUUUGGAAACGAAGGAUAAUACCGCAUAAGUUCUUCAUUAUGACAUCAGAAGAAGAGGAAAGAUCCGUUUGGAUCGCUAAAAGAUGAGGAUGCGGCGUAUUAGUUAGUAGGCGGGGUAAAGGCCCACCUAGACGAUGAUACGUAGCCGAACUGAGAGGUUGAUCGGCCACAUUGGGACUGAGAUACGGCCCAGACUCCUACGGGAGGCAGCAGUAGGGAAUUUUUCACAAUGGACGAAAGUCUGAUGAAGCAAUGCCGCGUGAGUGAUGAAGGUCUUCGGAUUGUAAAGCUCUGUUGUAAGGGAAGAAUAAGCCAGGAAGGAAAUGUCUUGGUGAUGACGGUACCUUACCAGAAAGCCCCGGCUAACUAUGUGCCAGCCGCCGCAGUAAUAC